GACGAACGCUGGCGGCGUGCUUAACACAUGCAAGUCGAACGCUGAAGCUCAGCUUUUGUUGGGUGGAUGAGUGGCGAACGGGUGAGUAACACGUGAGUAACCUGCCCCCUUCUUUGGGAUAACGCCCGGAAACGGGUGCUAAUACUGGAUAUUCACUGGUCUUCGCAUGGGGGUUGGUGGAAAGGGUUUUUCUGGUGGGGGAUGGGCUCGCGGCCUAUCAGCUUGUUGGUGGGGUGAUGGCCUACCAAGGCUUUGACGGGUAGCCGGCCUGAGAGGGUGACCGGUCACAGUGGGACUGAGAUACGGCCCAGACUGCUACGGGAGGCAGCAGUGGGGAAUAGUGCGCAAUGGGGGCAAGCGUGAUGCAGCGACGCGGCGUGAGGGAUGGAGGCCUGCGGGUUGUGAACCUCUUUCGCUCAUGGUCAAGCCGCAACAAUGGUUGUGGUGAGGGUAGUGGGUAAAGAAGCGCCGGCUAACUACGUG
rnacentral:rRNA from 1 species